rnacentral:rRNA from 1 species
GGGUGCGAUCAUACCAGCACUAAUGCACCGGAUACCAUCAGAACUCCGAAGUUAAACGUGCUUGGGCGAGAGUAGUACUAAGAUGGGUGACCUCUUGGGAAGUCCUCGUGUUGCACCCC